AUCAUAGACGCGUACGAAAUUCAAUGACGGCCUAUUCCGCCUUGAGAGAAUUAUGCAGAGGUUUAAAAAAAAAUCAGUCCAUUUAAAUAUUGAGGGCAAAUAGUUUCUAAGGCUAUUUGAUAUGGAACAAAUGUAGGUAACUACGAAGCGAAGCAAAUAGAGUUAUAAACGCUAUACAACUCCACGGAAUUAUAGGAAGUUCAUAGAACUUCAGUCUAAUUCCUAGUAAGAAACGUAGGGAACAUUGCGACUGUUCUAGUCCGUUUCUGUAUCCAAAUAAAGGGGAUAUAGUUAUCCUAGUCUAUUUGGAGUGUGAUGAAAGAGGAAUGAAGGGGAUUACGAAUCCUAGUCCAUUCUUUUAAACGAAGGGUGUCUUAGAAGACUCCAGUCCGUUGAAGACCAAAAUGAAGGAGUACGACUCAGUUCAUUUGGCAUAAUAUCUAGUCUAUCACAAGAUGAAGGAAGCAGAAUUAGCUUUAGGCCAUCUGAAAAAGUGAUAAAGAGAUAUGCAAAGGGAGCAAUAAUGUUCCAGUCUGCAACAGAAAAGACCAGAUGUAGGAGAUUCUUCUCAGUCCUUCUGGCAAUCCAGUCUACUAUGAGAUGUAGGGAGAAAGUCUUCGGUCCAUCUAUAGUAAAGGGAUAUGCAAAGGAAACAAAAGUGUUUCAGUCUGCAAUAGAAAAGACCAGAUGUAGGACAUCGAACUCAGUCUUUCUGGCAGUUCAGUCUACCAUGAGAUGCAGGAAGUAUGUCUUCAGGCCAUCUAUGGUAAAGGAUCAUGUUCAUUUGCUAGUCCAGUCUACCACAAGAUGAAUAAAGCUCAAGCAUAUUCAAAAUUUCAGUAACUGCUUAUUUGAUAUAUUCAUCUAGUAGUAAAGGGACAAAACAGUUAACAAAUUUAAAUACUUAUUUGGUUUUAUUUCAUCUCAAUAUUAAAUAAAUAGUUUCAUAGUUUUCUGUAGGUUUGAACUGCUUGGAUAUUGCCCUUACAAUUCGAUGAUUGAUUUUAGAAAUUAAAAAUAUCAAAAAUCCAACAUGGACAGUGUGGCAUUACUCCUUGAAGUGAAAGAAAAGAGUUCUUAUGUUAUAAACUGUUCUUCAUGGCCCAUCGAUUACCUGGAACCGCCCAUCGCUCAAUAGACGGAUGACGAUUUUAAUCAGUUUACAAAUAAUAUAGGAGGUCGAUUACAGUAAGCAAACCAUACAAUGUACCAAAAUAGUAGUUAAGUCAAU